GCCGGUGUAGCUCAGCAGGUAGAGCACCUGACUUGUAAUCAGGGGGUCGCCAGUUCAAUUCUGGCCGCCGGCUCCA
rnacentral:tRNA from 1 species